UACGAAGGGGGCUAGCGUUGUUCGGAAUCACUGGGCGUAAAGCGCACGUAGGCGGACCUUCAAGUCAGGGGUGAAAUCCCGGGGCUCAACCUCGGAACUGCCUUUGAUACUGUUGGUCUUGAGUCCGGAAGAGGUGGGUGGAAUUCCUAGUGUAGAGGUGAAAUUCGUAGAUAUUCGCAGGAACACCAGUGGCGAAGGCGGCUUACUGGGCCAUUACUGACGCUGAGGUGCGAAAGCGUGGGGAGCAAACAGG
rnacentral:rRNA from 1 species